UUGUGCACCAUGUUUCCUCUUUGCUC
rnacentral:piRNA from 1 species